UGGGGAAUAUUGGACAAUGGGGGCAACCCUGAUCCAGCCAUGCCGCGUGAGUGAUGAAGGCCUUAGGGUUGUAAAGCUCUUUCACCCGGGACGAUAAUGACGGUACCGGGAGAAGAAGCCCCGGCUAACUUCGUGCCAGCAGCCGCGGUAAUACGAAGGGGGCUAGCGUUGUUCGGAAUCACUGGGCGUAAAGCGCGCGUAGGCGGACCGUUAAGUCGGAGGUGAAAGCCUGGGGCUCAACCCCAGAACUGCCUUCGAUACUGGCGGUCUCGAGUCCGGGAGAGGUGAGUGGAACUGCCAGUGUAGAGGUGAAAUUCGUAGAUAUUGGCAAGAACACCAGUGGCGAAGGCGGCUCACUGGCCCGGUACUGACGCUGAGGUGCGAAAGCGUGGGGAGCAAACAGG
rnacentral:rRNA from 1 species